GGGACAAGAAAACCAGAUUGAAAGAGGUAGAUGGAACAGUAAGAAGAAAAUGUGAAAGAGCAUCCUAGAACAAGAAAAUCUGAGUGUGUGAUAUUACAAGAGAAAGUAAAGAGAUGGAAAGAAUAAAACUGCUGAAUGUCAAGCUCACAAGGACCUACUGAAAUUCAGGACAAAAUCCAAAUUCAGUGCAUGGAGACAGACAGCAGCCUACGGAGCCAAAUGGGAAUUUCACUGCUCUGAGGAGUCCCUGACAUGCUGAUUCUUGUGCUGCAUCGUUGGCAAGACUGUGAAGAAGAUACAUGACCAAUUUUGCAGGAAAUGGAGCAAAGCAAAGCAAACAGAAAAGAGUGGCAGGGUGUUAAUUGCAACCUGAUAAUUAAAGUGAAGCAUAGUCAAGGAACAGAUAUCCUCCCAGCUUUCAGCAUGAAAAUGAUGAUGGGCAGCAUCUCUGGACGCUCAGCGCUGUUUUGAUAACCCUGGGAAGCUGCUGCAGGGAGAGCCUCAGUGACACACAAGUCUGUGUCUGAGAACACACAUUACCAGGUCUUACUUUCAUCACAGGAUAUUUAAAAAUCUGGCAUUGGCUUUAGCAGAGGAAGGAAUGAGCUCUUUUCAACUCAGUUGGAACACUUGCAAGUUUAGUAGCUGAUAUAGCUUCCAGGACCUAAGGCCUUACUUUACAGGUUGCUGAUUGAACACUUGCGCACCACCUCUUCUACCACUACAUUAGGAACCACCUCACAUUUCAUUCUUGCACGUGUAAUGAUUUAACAGAAUUUGAAAGAAUGUACCAUGGAUGGAAACAAGACAGGUUCCUGAAGAAAUGUUUUAUUCAACAAAACUUGCCCAACUUGAGCAUUUGCCAGGUGUUUCGUCUCUUUGGUGACAACAGUUGGUCCUCUACAGGACAUUUCAGUGAGCUGCACGUGCUGGGAAGUGCUGGUCAGGUGAAGACCAUCCUGUCAGAUCUGGAAUGGGUACGGCCACACUUGGAUGUUCAGUUCCUCCAUCUCAGAUGUACCUGUACCCAUGAGGGAAAAAUGUCUCCCUUCCUGAUCCCUAUGACAGAAGCAGGUUUGGC